rnacentral:misc_RNA from 1 species
UUUCCGUAGGUGAACCUGCGGAAGGAUCAUUAGUGAAUUUUAGGGCGUCUACUUGUAUAGCCUGACCUCUACUUUCUAAGUCUGUGCACCUUUUUGUCGGAAUUAGGGACUAGUGAUUGUCUAACGAUGAUUGCGUCCUCCUUACUUCUGGAACUUACUUUAAUCGCUAGUCAUAGUAUGUAACGACUUAUAGAAUUAAAAAAAAACUUUCAACAACGGAUCUCUUGGCUCUC